AGUGGACAAGAAAACCGGAGCACAAGUCAAUUAAACAAUAUGGGCAGAUAGCAAGAGAGAUCCUACUGACCCCCCUCCUGGAGAUCAUAACCCACAAAUUUCUCGCAAAACUAUUGUCCGGGUGACUACAAAAGAUGCCACAGACGGGAGGCUUCCUUCUGCACCUGACCCAGCCCUUCAGGAGAUAUCCUUUAACGCGGCCCAGCAGAUACGGGCUCAUCCUGAGGAGGACCCGGCCUUCCUCUCCCCCUCCAAACCCGUCCGACCGGUCACGUCAAACGGCCUACGUACCAUGUACGCCUCAGAAACACCAGAGAGGGAGAAUGCUGCAUUUUAUUCCAAUAUUCAGCCUCCUGCAGUAAUGGAGACACCAAAGACUUCAGUGAUGCGUGAUGCCCCUGUUAAAAGCCAUGCAAUACGUGACAAAGUGACAGUCAGUAGAGAAGAGGAGGAAAUAUAACCCAUUCUGUGUGAAGUAGAAAAUAGAACUGAUUGCAGCUUUUAUAUGAAAUUUUUAGUUUUUUAAAAAGAUUAACUUUUUAAGAGCAUUGUUUAUAUUGAAUAUUUUUAAAUUAUAUUGGUCAAAGACCAGAAAAGCUACCAAUUGUAGGGGGUCUGUUGUCUUUCUUUAAGAUGUUUUACAAAACACUAUUUAUUCUGUAGAAGGAUUUACAAGUUUAAAUAAUACAGUUGAACUCUGAUACAUGUAUUUGAAUUCCAUGGAUAUGUUGAUUCGAGUUGGAAGUCCCAACUUCUCCUUUGCUUUGUGUUUUAACCUUCAUAUCUCGAAUCCUCCCAUUCCUGGCCGGGUCCCUUUGUGUUCAUGACAGCGAGGUUAACUGUUUAUAAUUCUCAUCUUACAUUGUAACUGUCCAGGAAAAGUUUGGAAUCUUUCAGAAUGCUGCUCUUGCUAGUUUUGGUCUGAUUUUAAUAAAACACGUUACAAGUAGACCAAAGCAAGUUUUUGGAUAAUUUGUUGUACUGUAAAUUCCUUAUUUUUCGCGAGUACUUUUUAUCAUGUACUGGCUCUUCAACGUCAAAUUGCGGAAUAAUAAUCUGCAAAUGGACAGUUGAUCAAUAGAUUUUAAAUGGAUUUCAUCACCCUAAAAAUAAAAGCGAGCAAUAUUAUUUUGCGAGUGAUGCUUCUUGCGAAAUUACGCGGAAAUUGAUUCCUCGCAUAUAAUUAGGAGUCGACAGUAUAUCAGAUUUGGAUUUUGAUGCUCAAUGUGCCAUUGUUACUAUGUAUACAGCAAGUGAAUAUGUGGAGUCAUUUUGUUUCUUCCACUGCUUUAUAAAGAUUUUGGUGAAUGUACAUGUACUUAUCACCCUAGCAUAAGUUCAGAAAUGAUUAGGGUACAUACCUAUUAGAUUUGUAGACUUUCAGUACAUUUGGUCCUCUCUUCUUCUUCAAGUCAAAACCAGUAGAGCUUUAGUCACAUCAUAUACAUCUAGAUUCUUUCAUUUUAUGCAUUUUACAUAUGUUUAUAGUAUACAUCAUAUUUUAUACUUUUUUUUUUAUUUUAAAGAAAUCUUAGCAGGCAUUUGAGUAUCAAGCAAAAAAUAAUAUCCUUUGCCUAACCUUGUAGAUUCUGCACAUAUGAAAUAUUCUUUACCAGGUGUUGAAAUCGUAGAAAUUUCUUGUCGAGUCAGACUUUGUAGUUGUAAAUGCAAUAUACUCGUACAUGUACAGUU